AUCGCCACUGCUAAGCUAUCCCUCGCUGCUAAGCUAUCGCCGCUGCCAACCUAUCUAUUGCUGCUAAUCUAUCUUUCGCUGCUAAUCUAUCGCCGCUGCCAAUCUAUCCCUCGCUGCUAAGCUAUCCCUCGCUGCUAAGCUAUCCCUCACUGCUAAGCUAUCUCUCGCUGCUAAGCUAUCCCUCACUGCUAAGCUAUCCCUCGCUGCUAAGCUAUCCCUCGCUGCUAAGCUAUCGCUAUCCCUCACUGCUAAGCUAUCGCCGCUGCCAACCUAUCUAUUGCUGCAAGCUAUCCCUCGCUGCUAAGCUAUCCCUCGCUGCUAAGCUAUCCCUCGCUGCUAAGCUAUCCCUCGCUGCUAAGCUAUCCCUCGCUGCUAAGCUAUCCCUCGCUGCUAAGCUAUCCCUCACUACUAAGCUAUCUAUCGCUGCUAAUCUAUCGCUUGCUGCUAAGCUAUCCCUCGCUGCUAAGCUAUCGCCGCUGCCAACCUAUCUAUUGCUGCAAGCUAUCCCUCGCUGCUAAGCUAUCCCUCGCUGCUAAGCUAUCCCUCGCUGCUAAGCUAUCACCGCUGCCAACCUAUCCCUUGCUGCUAAGCUAUCCCUCACUGCUAAGCUAUCGCCGCUGCCAACCUAUCUAUUGCUGCAAGCUAUCCCUCGCUGCUAAGCUAUCCCUCGCUGCCAACCUAUCUAUUGCUGCUAAGCUAUCCCUCGCUGCUAAGCUAUCGCCGCUGCCAACCUAUCUAUUGCUGCAAGCUAUCCCUCGCUGCUAAGCUAUCCCUCGCUGCUAAGCUAUCCCUCGCUGCUAAGCUAUCACCGCUGCCAACCUAUCCCUCGCUGCUAAGCUAUCCCUCGCUGCUAAGCUAUCGCCGCUGCCAACCUAUCUAUUGCUGCAAGCUAUCCCUCGCUGCUAAGCUAUCCCUCGCUGCUAAGCUAUCCCUCGCUGCUAAGCUAUCCCUCGCUGCUAAGCUAUCCCUCGCUGGCUAUCCCUCACUGCUAAGCUAUCGCCGCUGCCAACCUAUCUAUUGCUGCAAGCUAUCCCUCGCUGCUAAGCUAUCCCUCGCUGCUAAGCUAUCCCUCGCUGCUAAGCUAUCCCUCGCUGCUAAGCUAUCACCGCUGCCAACCUAUCCCUUGCUGCUAAGCUAUCCCUCACUGCUAAGCUAUCGCCGCUGCCAACCUAUCUAUUGCUGCAAGCUAUCCCUCGCUGCUAAGCUAUCCCUCGCUGCCAACCUAUCUAUUGCUGCUAAGCUAUCCCUCGCUGCUAAGCUAUCGCCGCUGCCAACCUAUCUAUUGCUGCAAGCUAUCCCUCGCUGCUAAGCUAUCCCUCGCUGCUAAGCUAUCCCUCGCUGCUAAGCUAUCACCGCUGCCAACCUAUCCCUCGCUGCUAAGCUAUCCCUCGCUGCUAAGCUAUCGCCGCUGCCAACCUAUCUAUUGCUGCAAGCUAUCCCUCGCUGCUAAGCUAUCCCUCGCUGCUAAGCUAUCCCUCGCUGCUAAGCUAUCCCUCGCUGCUAAGCUAUCCCUCGCUGGCUAUCCCUCACUGCUAAGCUAUCGCCGCUGCCAACCUAUCUAUUGCUGCAAGCUAUCCCUCGCUGCUAAGCUAUCCCUCGCUGCUAAGCUAUCCCUCGCUGCUAAGCUAUCCCUCGCUGCUAAGCUAUCCCUCGCUGCUAAGCUAUCCCUCGCUGCUAAGCUAUCCCUCGCUGCUAAGCUAUCCCUCACUACUAAGCUAUCUAUCGCUGCUAAUCUAUCGCUGCCAACCUAUCUAUCGCUGCCAACCUAUCUAUCGCUGCCAAUUUAUCUACCACUGCCAAUCUAUCACUGCUAAUCUAUCUAUCGCUGCUAAUCUAUCGCUGCUGUCAAUCUAUCUAUCGCUGCUAAUCUAUCGCUGCUAAUCUAUUGCUGCUAAUCUAUUGCUGCUGCCAAUCUAUCUAUCGCUGCUAAUCUAUCACUGCUAAUCUAUCUAUCGCUGCUAAUCUAUCACUGCUGUCAAUCUAUCUAUCACUGCUAAUCUAUCGCUGCUAAUCUAUCGCUGCUAAUCUAUCGCUGCUAAUCUAUUGCUGCCAACCUAUCUACCGCGGCGAAUCUAUCUAUUGCUGCCAACCAACCUACCUACCACUGCCAACCUAUCUAUCGCUGCCAAUCUAUCGCUGCCAAUCUAUCGCUGCCAAUCUAUCGCUGCCAAUCUAUCUACUGCAGUGAAUCUAUCUAUCACUAUCAUUACUAGUUCAAAAUAGAACUAGAGCAUAAAUACACUAAACUUCUUUUGAUAGGUAAUGAUUUUUGAUAACACUCAUAGCAUUAUAUCAUCUAUAUAGGGUAAAUCAUGGUCCCAUUUGGUCCCAUUUUAACAAAAUGGGAUCAAAUGGGAUCAGAAUCAGUAAUUUAUAAGAAGAACAUGACCUGGAACUAGAUUUAUAAUAUAAACAGUGUAAAGUGACUAAUUUAAUAAACACUAUAUGGGAUCAGAACUAAGAAAUUUGAUAAUGAGACUGGAGAAAUAUUUAGUCUCAGUUCUAUACAUGGUCACACAGUGCAAAGACAUCAGCAAAUGCCUCUUCCACAGAAUCUUUGCUUUCUUCUCUCUAUUCUUCUUCAUCAACCUCUUCAUUCACUGACACAUUCACUGAAGAAAGGCCUCUCUCUUUAUGAUCUUCUUUUACAUCUUCAUAUCAUGAGGCUCAUAUUCUUCAUAUUCUGCUGUCUUCACUGCUGAUGUCUUCACAAUCUUCUUCAUUGACUCUUCAGUCAACUUCUUUUUCAUCAACUUCUCUUUCAUCAAUCUCUUCUCAAUCAACCUCUUCAUCACAGAGCUUUCAGAGCUAACCACUUUCAAAAUCCUCAUAUUCUUCUCCACAUUCUUCUCUUUCUCUAACAUCUUCACUCUGAAAGAAACAGAUACAAUCACUGUCUUCAUAAUCUACAUCUCUGCAGACUCAGCUACUGCUCAGUACUGAGAUCACAGAGCAUUCAUCUCUGCUCUGCUCUAAGCAGACAGCAUCAUCAAAUAAGAUGCAUUCAAUUAUUUAACUAAACAACAAAGAUGACUUUUGUAACUGGCUAUAUUCUUCUCAACUGCCACCCCCAUGAAGAUAAAUACUCACUCAUGUAUGAUGUGUCUCAGAAGAGGUGUAUCACACAUCUAGCAUCAUUAUCAGUAUAUCAACAUUGCUUAUGACAUGAAUUAAAGAGAAUCACUCACAGAUUUGCAGAAUUUUUCUGCAGAGAUAUAAGUCUUACAAUACUUUCAAGUAUUUGAUUUCAACACACAUCAAAAAUUGAUAUCUUCAAGUCUAGAGACACAACAUUCAUAUAGAAUCUGACUGUUGUACAUCAUAUGAUUAGAGUUAAAUCUAGAGCAAUAUAACAAGUGAACAGUAAAUGAUGCUAUAUGAAAACAAGCUAGUGAUGCAUAUGACCACACUAAUAACAUCACUGACAAGAAACAUCAGCAAUAAUAUGUGAUAAAUGUCAGUGAGAAAACAACUUACUUAAAAUCAGAAUAUUCAAAAAAACCCAUUUCAAUAAAAG
rnacentral:sRNA from 1 species